AGUGAACGCUGGCGGUAGGCCUAACACGUGCAAGUCGAACGGCAGCACAGUAAGAGCUUGCUCUUACGGGUGGCGAGUGGCGGACGGGUGAGGAAUACAUCGGAAUCUACUUUUUCGUGGGGGAUAACGUAGGGAAACUUACGCUAAUACCGCAUACGACCUACGGGUGAAAGCAGGGGAUCUUCGGACCUUGCGCGAUUGAAUGAGCCGAUGUCGGAUUAGCUAGUUGGCGGGGUAAAGGCCCACCAAGGCGACGAUCCAUAGCUGGUCUGAGAGGAUGAUCAGCCACACUGGAACUGAGACACGGUCCAGACUCCUACGGGAGGCAGCAGUGGGGAAUAUUGGACAAAGGGCGCAAGCCUGAUCCAGCCAUACCGCGUGGGUGAAGAAGGCCUUCGGGUUGUAAAGCCCUUUUGUUGGGAAAGAAAAGCAGCAGGUUAAUACCCCGCUGUUCUGACGGUACCCAAAGAAUAAGCACCGGCUAACUUCGUG
rnacentral:rRNA from 1 species